ACAAAAAAAAAGAGUAAAACAUUUCAUAACUCUUCACUCUUCUUGUCAUACUUUUUUUUUACUCUACUUCUUCAUU
rnacentral:ribozyme from 1 species